rnacentral:rRNA from 1 species
UACGUAGGGUGCGAGCGUUGUCCGGAUUUAUUGGGCGUAAAGAGCUCGUAGGCGGCUUAGCAAGUCGGGUGUGAAAACUCCAGGCUCAACCUGGAGACGCCACUCGAGACUGCUAUGGCUAGAGUCCGGUAGGGGACCACGGAAUUCCUGGUGUAGCGGUGAAAUGCGCAGAUAUCAGGAGGAACACCGAUGGCGAAGGCAGGUCACUGGGCCGCAACUGACGCUGAGGAGCGAAAGCAUGGGGAGCGAACAGG